ACGAACGCUGGCGGCGUGCCUAAUACAUGCAAGUAGAACGCUGAAGAGAGGAGCUUGCUCUUCUUGGAUGAGUUGCGAACGGGUGAGUAACGCGUAGGUAACCUGCCUUGUAGCGGGGGAUAACUAUUGGAAACGAUAGCUAAUACCGCAUAACAAUAGGUGACACAUGUCAUUUAUUUGAAAGGGGCAAUUGCUCCACUACAAGAUGGACCUGCGUUGUAUUAGCUAGUAGGUGAGGUAACGGCUCACCUAGGCGACGAUACAUAGCCGACCUGAGAGGGUGAUCGGCCACACUGGGACUGAGACACGGCCCAGACUCCUACGGGAGGCAGCAGUAGGGAAUCUUCGGCAAUGGGGGCAACCCUGACCGAGCAACGCCGCGUGAGUGAAGAAGGUUUUCGGAUCGUAAAGCUCUGUUGUAAGUCAAGAACGAGUGUGAGAGUGGAAAGUUCACACUGUGACGGUAGCUUACCAGAAAGGGACGGCUAACUACGUGCCAGCAGCCGCGGUAAUACGUAGGUCCCGAGCGUUGUCCGGAUUUAUUGGGCGUAAAGCGAGCGCAGGCGGUUUGAUAAGUCUGAAGUUAAAGGCUGUGGCUCAACCAUAGUUCGCUUUGGAAACUGUCAAACUUGAGUGCAGAAGGGGAGAGUGGAAUUCCAUGUGUAGCGGUGAAAUGCGUAGAUAUAUGGAGGAACACCGGUGGCGAAAGCGGCUCUCUGGUCUGUAACUGACGCUGAGGCUCGAAAGCGUGGGGAGCGAACAGGAUUAGAUACCCUGGUAGUCCACGCCGUAAACGAUGAGUGCUAGGUGUUGGAUCCUUUCCGGGAUUCAGUGCCGCAGCUAACGCAUUAAGCACUCCGCCUGGGGAGUACGACCGCAAGGUUGAAACUCAAAGGAAUUGACGGGGGCCCGCACAAGCGGUGGAGCAUGUGGUUUAAUUCGAAGCAACGCGAAGAACCUUACCAGGUCUUGACAUCCCGAUGCUAUUUCUAGAGAUAGAAAGUUACUUCGGUACAUCGGUGACAGGUGGUGCAUGGUUGUCGUCAGCUCGUGUCGUGAGAUGUUGGGUUAAGUCCCGCAACGAGCGCAACCCCUAUUGUUAGUUGCCAUCAUUCAGUUGGGCACUCUAGCGAGACUGCCGGUAAUAAACCGGAGGAAGGUGGGGAUGACGUCAAAUCAUCAUGCCCCUUAUGACCUGGGCUACACACGUGCUACAAUGGUUGGUACAACGAGUUGCGAGUCGGUGACGGCAAGCUAAUCUCUUAAAGCCAAUCUCAGUUCGGAUUGUAGGCUGCAACUCGCCUACAUGAAGUCGGAAUCGCUAGUAAUCGCGGAUCAGCACGCCGCGGUGAAUACGUUCCCGGGCCUUGUACACACCGCCCGUCACACCACGAGAGUUUGUAACACCCGAAGUCGGUGAGGUAACCUUUUGGAGCCAGCCGCCUAAGGUGGGAUAGAUGAUUGGGGUG
rnacentral:rRNA from 1 species